CUGAAUUUGAAAAACAAUUCGAUUACUAACUGCCACUCACUAAGGAGUUUUAAAUAUUUACAAAUAUUUGUAUAUGUAAUGAAGUAUGCAGACACGUUAUGACAAUAACUGAAUAGAUUACAAGGUUUUUAAUGCCAAUCUGCGCGUUGAGAAAUGUUUGCAAAAAAUGAUCUUAUACUAUAGAAAAUAUUCAAAUGUAAUUAACGAACAUCGCUACCCGCUAGUACAUUUGUGACGGUUCGAAGUUUAUCGAAAUGUAA